rnacentral:rRNA from 1 species
GCUGAAUACACGACCGGCGCACGGGUGAGUAACACGUUUGCAACCUUCCUCUAACUGGAGAAUAGCCCGAAGAAAUCGGAUUAAUACUCCAUAAAGUCAAUUUAAGGCAUCUUUUAUUGAUUAAAGCUCCGGCGGUUAGAGAUGGGCAUGCGUGUCAUUAGCUAGUUGGUGAGGUAACGGCUCACCAAGGCCACGAUGACUAGGGGGUCUGAGAGGAUGAUCCCCCACACUGGUACUGAGACACGGACCAGACUCCUACGGGAGGCAGCAGUGAGGAAUAUUGGGCAAUGGACGCAAGUCUGACCCAGCCAUGCCGCGUGCAGGAUGACUGCCCUAUGGGCUGUAAACUGCUUUUGUUUGCGGAAGAANACCCCCGAUCGUNGAUCGGGGCUGACGGUACCAUACGAAAUAAGCAUCGGCUAACUCCUGUGCCAGCAGCCGCGGUAAUACGGAGGAUGCAAGCGUUAUCCGGAUUCAUUGGGUUUAAAGGGUGCGCAGGCGGAAUAUUAAGUCAGUGGUGAAAUCCUGCAGCUUAACUGUAGAAAACUGCCAUUGAUACUGAUAUUCUUGAAUAUAAGUUGAGGUGGGCGGAAUGUGUAAUGUAGCCGGUUGAAAAUGGCUUAGAUAUUACACAGAACACCAAUUGCGAAGGCAGCUCACUAAACUAAUAUUGACGCUGAGGCACGAAAGCGUGGGUAGCAAACCAGGAUUAGAUACCCUGGU